rnacentral:rRNA from 1 species
AGUUCCUGAAACCGUGUGCCUACAAGUAGUUAGAGCCCGUUAAUGGGUGAUAGCGUGCCUUUUGUAGAAUGAACCGGCGAGUUACGAUUUGUUGCAAGGUUAAGCGGAAAAAGCGGAGCCGUAGCGAAAGCGAGUCUGAAUAGGGCGCAUAAGUAACAGGUCGUAGACCCGAAACCAGGUGAUCUACCCAUGUCCAGGAUGAAGGUAAGGUAAUACUUACUGGAGGUCCGAACCCACGCACGUUGAAAAGUGCGGGGAUGAGGUGUGGGUAGCGGAGAAAUUCCAAUCGAACUUGGAGAUAGCUGGUUCUCUCCGAAAUAGCUUUAGGGCUAGCCUCGAGGUAAAGAGUCAUGGAGGUAGAGCACUGUUUGGACUAGGGGCCCUUCUCGGGUUACCGAAUUCAGAUAAACUCCGAAUGCCAUGUACUUAUACUCGGGAGUCAGACUGCGAGUGAUAAGAUCCGUAGUCGAAAGGGAAACAGCCCAGACCACCAGUUAAGGUCCCCAAAUAUAUGUUAAGUGGAAAAGGAUGUGGGGUUGCUUAGACAACCAGGAUGUUGGCUUAGAAGCAGCCACCAUUGAAAGAGUGCGUAAUAGCUCACUGGUCGAGUGACCCCGCGCCGAAAAUGUACCGGGGCUAAACAUAUUACCGAAACUGUGGAUGAACCUCUUUAGAGGUUCGUGGUAGGAGAGCGUUCUAAGGGCGGUGAAGUCAGACCGGAAGGACUGGUGGAGCGCUUAGAAGUGAGAAUGCCGGUAUGAGUAGCGAAAGAAGGGUGAGAAUCCCUUCCACCGAAUAUCUAAGGUUUCCUGAGGAAGGCUCGUCCGCUCAGGGUUAGUCGGGACCUAAGCCGAGGCCGAUAGGCGUAGGCGAUGGACAACAGGUAGAGAUUCCUGUACCAGUGCUAAUUGUUUAACCGAUGGGGUGACACAGAAGGAUAGGGAAUCGCACGAAUGGAAAUGUGCGUCCAAGCAGUGAGUGUGAGAAGUAGGCAAAUCCGCUUCUCGCGAAGCAUGAGCUGUGAUGGGGAAGGAAAUUAAGUACGGAAGUUCCUGAUUUCACGCUGUCAAGAAAAGCCUCUAGGAAGAGUAGUACUGCCCGUACCGCAAACCGACACAGGUAGAUGAGGAGAGAAUCCUAAGGUGAGCGAGAGAACUCUCGUUAAGGAACUCGGCAAAAUGACCCCGUAACUUCGGGAGAAGGGGUGCUCUAUUAGGGUGCAAGCCCGAGAGAGCCGCAGUGAAUAGGCCCAGGCGACUGUUUAGCAAAAACACAGGUCUCUGCAAAACCGUAAGGUGACGUAUAGGGGCUGACGCCUGCCCGGUGCUGGAAGGUUAAGAGGAGUGCUUAGCUUCGGCGAAGGUACGAAUUGAAGCCCCAGUAAACGGCGGCCGUAACUAUAACGGUCCUAAGGUAGCGAAAUUCCUUGUCGGGUAAGUUCCGACCCGCACGAAAGGCGCAACGAUCUGGGCACUGUCUCAACGAGAGACUCGGUGAAAUUAUAGUACCUGUGAAGAUGCAGGUUACCCGCGACAGGACGGAAAGACCCCGUGGAGCUUUACUGCAACCUGAUAUGGAAUGUUUGUACCGCUUGUACAGGAUAGGUAGGAGCCGAAGAGACGUGUGCGCUAGCAUACGAGGAGGCAAUGGUGGGAUACUACCCUGGCUGUAUGACCAUUCUAACCCGCCACGCUUAGCGCGUGGGGAGACAGUGUCAGGUGGGCAGUUUGACUGGGGCGGUCGCCUCCUAAAGAGUAACGGAGGCGCCCAAAGGUUCCCUCAGAAUGGAUGGAAAUCAUUCGCAGAGUGUAAAGGCACAAGGGAGCUUGACUGCGAGACUGACAAGUCGAGCAGGGACGAAAGUCGGGCUUAGUGAUCCGGUGGUUCCGCAUGGAAGGGCCAUCGCUCAACGGAUAAAAGCUACCCCGGGGAUAACAGGCUUAUCUCCCCCAAGAGUCCACAUCGACGGGGAGGUUUGGCACCUCGAUGUCGGCUCGUCGCAUCCUGGGGCUGUAGUCGGUCCCAAGGGUUGGGCUGUUCGCCCAUUAAAGCGGCACGCGAGCUGGGUUCAGAACGUCGUGAGACAGUUCGGUCCCUAUCCGUCGCGGGCGCAGGAAAUUUGAGAGGAGCUGUCCUUAGUACGAGAGGACCGGGAUGGACACACCGCUGGUGUACCAGUUGUUCCGCCAGGAGCAUCGCUGGGUAGCUAUGUGUGGCAGGGAUAAACGCUGAAAGCAUCUAAGCGUGAAGCCCCCCUCAAGAUGAGAUUUCCCAUUUCUUCGGAAAGUAAGAUCCCUGAAAGAUGAUCAGGUAGAUAGGUUUGGAGUGGAAGUGUAGCGAUACAUGGAGCGGACAAAUACUAAUCGAUCGAGGACUUAACCAAAA